rnacentral:rRNA from 1 species
AGAGUUUGAUCCUGGCUCAGGACGAACGCUGGCGGCGCGCCUAACACAUGCAAGUCGAACGAGCGAGAGAGAGCUUGCUUUCUCGAGCGAGUGGCGAACGGGUGAGUAACGCGUGAGGAACCUGCCUCAAAGAGGGGGACAACAGUUGGAAACGACUGCUAAUACCGCAUAAGCCCACGGCUCGGCAUCGAGCAGAGGGAAAAGGAGCAAUCCGCUUUGAGAUGGCCUCGCGUCCGAUUAGCUAGUUGGUGAGGUAACGGCCCACCAAGGCAACGAUCGGUAGCCGGACUGAGAGGUUGAACGGCCACAUUGGGACUGAGACACGGCCCAGACUCCUACGGGAGGCAGCAGUGGGGAAUAUUGCACAAUGGGGGAAACCCUGAUGCAGCGACGCCGCGUGGAGGAAGAAGGUCUUCGGAUUGUAAACUCCUGUUGUUGGGGAAGAUAAUGACGGUACCCAACAAGGAAGUGACGGCUAACUACGUGCCAGCAGCCGCGGUAAAACGUAGGUCACAAGCGUUGUCCGGAAUUACUGGGUGUAAAGGGAGCGCAGGCGGGAAGACAAGUUGGAAGUGAAAUCUAUGGGCUCAACCCAUAAACUGCUUUCAAAACUGUUUUUCUUGAGUAGUGCAGAGGUAGGCGGAAUUCCCGGUGUAGCGGUGGAAUGCGUAGAUAUCGGGAGGAACACCAGUGGCGAAGGCGGCCUACUGGGCACCAACUGACGCUGAGGCUCGAAAGUGUGGGUAGCAAACAGGAUUAGAUACCCUGGUAGUCCACACCGUAAACGAUGAUUACUAGGUGUUGGAGGAUUGACCCCUUCAGUGCCGCAGUUAACACAAUAAGUAAUCCACCUGGGGAGUACGACCGCAAGGUUGAAACUCAAAGGAAUUGACGGGGGCCCGCAC